CUUGACACUGAACAUUGAGCCUUGAUGUGUAGGAUAGGUGGGAGGCUUUGAAGUGUGGACGCCAGUCUGCAUGGAGCCGACCUUGAAAUACCACCCUUUAAUGUUUGAUGUUCUAACGUUGACCCGUGAUCCGGGUUGCGGACAGUGUCUGGUGGGUAGUUUGACUGGGGCGGUCUCCUCCUAAAGAGUAACGGAGGAGCACGAAGGUUGGCUAAUCCUGGUCGGACAUCAGGAGGUUAGUGCAAUGGCAUAAGC
rnacentral:rRNA from 1 species